rnacentral:rRNA from 1 species
CCUACGGGAGGCAGCAGUAAGGAAUAUUGGUCAAUGGAGGCAACUCUGAACCAGCCAUGCCGCGUGCAGGAUGACGGCCCUAUGGGUUGUAAACUGCUUUUAUACAAGAGAAAACCCUGGUACGUGUACCAGGUUGAUAGUAUUGUAAGAAUAAGCAUCGGCUAACUUCGUGCCAGCAGCCGCGGUAAGACGAAGGAUGCAAGCGUUAUCCGGAUUCAUUGGGUUUAAAGGGUGCGUAGGCGGACUGAUAAGUCAGUGGUGAAAUCUCUUUGCUUAACAAAGAAACUGCCAUUGAUACUGUCGGUCUAGAGUAUAGAUGACGUUGGCGGAAUAUGACAUGUAGUGGUGAAAUACUUAGAUAUGUCAUAGAACACCGAUUGCGAAGGCAGCUAACGAAACUAUAACUGACGCUGAGGCACGAAAGUGCGGGGAUCAAACAGGAUUAGAUACCCUGGUAGUCCGCACCGUAAACGAUGAUUACUCGUUGUUGGCGAUAUGACAGUCAGCGACCAAGCGAAAGCGAUAAGUAAUCCACCUGGGGAGUACGCCGGCAACGGUGAAACUUAAAGGAAAUUGACGGCNGAGAGNGCGACGGACGACACGAGGGAGGAGG